CUACAGAGACUGCGAGCGUUAUUCGGAUUCACUGGGCGUAAAGGGUGCGCAGGCGGCCGAGUGUGUGAGGCGUGAAAGCCCGGGGCUUAACCCCGGAAUUGCACCUCAAACUACACGGCUAGAGCAUUGGAGAGGGUAGCGGAAUUCACGGUGUAGCAGUGAAAUGCGUAGAUAUCGUGAGGAACACCAGAGGCGAAGGCGGCUACCUGGACAAUUGCUGACGCUCAGGCACGAAAGCGUGGGGAGCAAAAGGG
rnacentral:rRNA from 1 species